AGAGUUUGAUCCUGGCUCAGAACGAACGCUGGCGGCAGGCUUAACACAUGCAAGUCGAACGCGUGUAGCAAUACACGAGUGGCGCACGGGUGAGUAACGCGUGGAUAUCUGCCUUUUGGUUCGGAAUAACCCCGGGAAACUGGGGCUAAUACCGGAUGGUUCCUACGGGAUAAAGAUUUAUCGCCAAAAGAUGAGUCCGCGUCCGAUUAGCUAGUUGGUGAGGUAACGGCCCACCAAGGCAACGAUCGGUAGCUGGUCUGAGAGGACGAUCAGCCACACUGGGACUGAGACACGGCCCAGACUCCUACGGGAGGCAGCAGUGGGGAAUAUUGGACAAUGGGGGCAACCCUGAUCCAGCCAUGCCGCGUGAGUGAUGAAGGCCUUCGGGUUGUAAAGCUCUUUUGGCGGGGACGAUGAUGACGGUACCCGCAGAAUAAGCA
rnacentral:rRNA from 1 species